CACGUAGGGGGCGAGCGUUGUCCGGAUUCAUUGGGCGUAAAGCGCGCGUAGGCGGCUCGGAAAGUCGGUCGUGAAAUGCCGGGGCUCAACCCCGGGACUGCGUCCGAUACUCCCGAGCUGGAGGCAGGUAGGGGAGAUCGGAAUUCCUGGUGUAGCGGUGAAAUGCGCAGAUAUCAGGAGGAACACCGGUGGCGAAGGCGGAUCUCUGGGCCUUGCCUGACGCUGAGGCGCGAAAGCUAGGGGAGCGAACAGG
rnacentral:rRNA from 1 species